AUCUCGGUAGUGCAUGGUAGCACGCAUCCCCGGCAUGGGUCAGACGCGGGUUCGACUUCCGUCUGAGGUG